CCUACGGGCGGCUGCAGUGGGGAAUAUUGCACAAUGGGCGCAAGCCUGACGCAGCCAUGCCGCGUGUGUGAAGAAGGCCUUCGGGUUGUAAAGCACUUUCAGCGGGGAGGAAGGCGGUGAGGUUAAUAACCUCAUCGAUUGACGUUACCCGCAGAAGAAGCACCGGCUAACUCCGUGCCAGCAGCCGCGGUAAUACGGAGGGUGCAAGCGUUAAUCGGAAUUACUGGGCGUAAAGCGCACGCAGGCGGUCUGUCAAGUCGGAUGUGAAAUCCCCGGGCUCAACCUGGGAAAUGCAUUCGAAACUGGCAGGCUAGAGUCUUGUAGAGGGGGGUAGAAUUCCAGGUGUAGCGGUGAAAUGCGUAGAGAUCUGGAGGAAUACCGGUGGCGAAGGCGGCCCCCUGGACAAAGACUGACGCUCAGGUGCGAAAGCGUGGGGAGCAAACAGGAUUAAUACCCUGGUAGUC
rnacentral:rRNA from 1 species